rnacentral:rRNA from 1 species
UACGUAGGGGCCUAGCGUUGUCCGGAUUUAUUGGGCGUAAAGAGCUCGUAGGCGGUUUGGUGAGUCGGGUGUGAAAUCUCCACGCUCAACGUGGAGGGGCCACCCGAUACUGCCAUGACUAGAGUCCGGUAGGGGAGUGUGGAAUUCCCGGUGUAGCGGUGAAAUGCGCAGAUAUCGGGAGGAACACCAGUAGCGAAGGCAGCUCGCUGGGACGGUACUGACGCUAAGGCGCGAAAGCGUGGGGAGCGAACAGG